AAAGUCGUCAUAGCGGAGAUGUCUAGCGAAUCCAUCCUGGCCUCGAGUCUUGCAGGCGACAUCGCGAGAUGCUGCUUGAAGCGUAGACAGAGGUAUCUUCCCACUUGAACC
rfam:Cyanobacteria bacterium 13_1_20CM_4_61_6 13_1_20cm_4_scaffold_34537, whole genome shotgun sequence.